rnacentral:misc_RNA from 1 species
AUCCCCUGGAUUAACUUGUACCUUGUGUUGAUUUGGACAGUAAAAAUUUGGAAAGGAGGACACUUGUUGUAUUGAAUCCAAUGAAUGGUAACCUAAUUAAAAAGGCUUUGAAAGUUGUAACCAAGGUCAAUGGGAAGUUUGAAUGGUCCGCAUGUCAAGCAUCCACGCAUGGAAUUUCCCUUUUUAGAUAACGUACCAGAUAACAAAUCACAAAGGAAGAGAAGAACAAAAACAAGACCAAAAUCCAGAAUAUCUUUCACAAAGAACAAUACAGCAUGUGGUUUACCGACCUUUAAAUAAAUAAAUAAAUAAUAAUA